GUCUUUGGUUAUCUAGCUGUAUGAGUGAAUUUAACGUCAUAAAGCUAGUUUACCGAAGUU
rfam:Phlebotomus papatasi Contig1951.3, whole genome shotgun sequence.